AGCGAACGCUGGCGGCAGGCUAAACAUGCAAGUCGAACGGAUCCUUCGGGAUUAGUGGCGGACGGGUGAGUAACACGUGGGAACGUGCCUUUUGGUUCGGAACAACUCAGGGAAACUUGAGCUAAUACCGAAUGUGCCCUUCGGGGGAAAGAUUUAUCGCCAUUAGAGCGGCCCGCGUCUGAUUAGCUUGUUGGUGAGGUAAAAGGGCUCACCAAGGCGACGAUCAGUAGCUGGUCUGAGAGGAUGAUCAGCCACACUGGGACUGAGACACGGCCCAGACUCCUACGGGAGGCAGCAGUUAGGAAUCUUGCGCAAUGGGGGAAACCCUGACGCAGCCAUGCCGCGUGAAUGAUUAAGGUCUUAGGAUUGUAAAAUUCUUUCAGCGGGGACGAUAAUGACGGUACCCGCAGAAGAAGCCCCGGCUAACUUCGUG
rnacentral:rRNA from 1 species